AGCUAAGGAAGCAGCACGGCAAAGAUGGGAAGUGGACAGAAGAGUGGCCACAGACACAUUACCUAUCUACACUAUGCAAACAUUACCUACAGACCUUAGGCUUCUGAAGGAACAGCAAGCUGCUGCCACUCUCCAGGAGAAACAAGGUUGGAAGAAUAAAGGUGCUGUACUCCGUGAUGAUGUCUACACUAUCAAUCUCAAGUUCUGCUUACCCAGAAGCAUGUACCCAGCGGUGGUACAAUGGGCCCAUGGGCCCGCUCACCUGUCAAAACUUCUGAUGAA